UGGUGGGUAGUUUGACUGGGGCGGUCUCCUCCCAAAGCGUAACGGAGGAGCACGAAGGUUAGCUAAUCCUGGUCGGACAUCAGGAGGUUAGUGCAAUGGCAUAAGCUAGCUUGACUGCGAGCGUGACGGCGCGAGCAGGUGCGAAAGCAGGUCAUAGUGAUCCGGUGGUUCUGAAUGGAAGGGCCAUCGCUCAACGGAUAAAAGGUACUCCGGGGAUAACAGGCUGAUACCGCCCAAGAGUUCAUAUCGACGGCGGUGUUUGGCACCUCGAUGUCGGCUCAUCACAUCCUGGGGCUGAAGUAGGUCCCAAGGGUAUGGCUGUUCGCCAUUUAAAGUGGUACGCGAGCUGGGUUUAGAACGUCGUGAGACAGUUCGGUCCCUAUCUGCCGUGGGCGCUGGAGAAUUGAGGGGGGCUGCUCCUAGUACGAGAGGACCGGAGUGGACGCAUCACUGGUGUUCGGGUUGUCAUGCCAAUGGCACUGCCCGGUAGCUAAAUGCGGAAGAGAUAAGUGCUGAAAGCAUCUAAGCACGAAACUUGCCCCGAGAUGAGUUCUCCCUGAGACUUUAAG
rnacentral:rRNA from 1 species